rnacentral:rRNA from 1 species
UACGGGGGGAGCAAGCGUUGUUCGGAAUUACUGGGCGUAAAGAGUGUGUAGGCGGUGCUCUAAGUCUGUUGUGAAAUCUCCCGGCUUAACCGGGAGGGUGCGGCGGAAACUGGAGUGCUUGAGGGUGGGAGAGGUAAGCGGAAUUCCUGGUGUAGCGGUGAAAUGCGUAGAUAUCGGGAAGAACACCAGUGGCGAAAGCGCUCUACUGGGCCAUAACUGACACUGAGGGACGAAAGCUAGGGGAGCGAAAGGG